rnacentral:rRNA from 1 species
CCUACGGGAGGCAGCAGUGGGGAAUAUUGGACAAUGGGCGAAAGCCUGAUCCAGCCAUGCCGCGUGUGUGAAGAAGGUCUUCGGAUUGUAAAGCACUUUAAGUUGGGAGGAAGGGCAGUAAGUUGAUACCUUGCUGUUUUGACGUUACCGACAGAAUAAGCACCGGCUAACUCUGUGCCAGCAGCCGCGGUAAUA